UUUCUAUAAUGUUUCAAUACUUUUCGUCACUUGAUUCCCCUCACAAAGCCCUAAUUUCCCAUUUCCUUUUGGCUUCUGAUUCCCAAUUGUGAUUCAUGUCUUUGCCAUAACCUUUCAAAUUCAACUACUUUUUUGUUGCUAGCGACAAUUAUCAACAUAGAGAAACAACAAAAAGUUCUGGACAUGAAAUCUUUUUCUAAGUCAUAUGAUUUUCCAGAAAAAAACGUUCAAGGAGAUUAUGGCAUUGCUAUAAUUGUAGCAGGGUGUUCUGCCAUUUGAGUUUGAGUAACAAUUGUUGUGGGACAUUUUCUUGUUGUUGGAAUACUAACCAUACAAAACAUCGUCAUCACACCUCUUCAAUUUUGAAAGAAGAAGAAACAAAUGAUUCUGUGAAGAUGGAUCUUCCUCAACAACAAUCAUCUAAACAAGAAUUUGAAGUGACUUCCAACUUAAGUACCAAUUGUUGCAAUUGGUUCAAAUGUUUUUCUUGUUCUUGUUCUUUUUGUAAAUUUUCUUGUACCAGUUGCCAAUGUUGUUAACAUAUUGGGUUUUAUAUCAAAUGCCACAUUUUUUUACAGUACCGCCACCUUUAGGUACUUAGGUUUGA